UCCCAGAAACUGUCUGUGGUCUCCUCCUGGCUGGCGGACUCGUCGUAGGCUCCAGACAUGGUCUCUCCAGAUUUGGCAGGAUGGUUUCAGGCGGUGACGGUCUGCAGCAGAGUAACGCUCCUCAUGCACUGACAGGUUUUUUUAAUCCAGCUUCUUUGAAUGUGUUGUUAAGAUGUAAUCAUUGUCUUCAUGAGAAGAGGCUGCCGGUAGGUCGCUGAGAGGAGCCGCCAGAUGGGGGAUGGUGCGGGAGGGUAGUCAAG